GUUUGCACAUCUGUUUCAGGUGUCCUUUUAGCUUAUGCUUCAAGGAUGAAACGGGAAGCUGGUGCACUCUGACAUUAACCAGGGUCAUUCCAGCACUGCCCCCGCAACGGUAAAUGAGCUAAGGAUUUGUAUUAUGCCACUGUGUUCUUAACACGGGAAGGCACGAAUCCGGGAAUAAUCCCACUCAUGAGUCCGGAGACCGGCCUGAAGCCAUACUACAGU
rnacentral:ncRNA from 2 species